GCUGACGUAGCUCAGUGGUAGAGUGCAUGCUUUGUAUGUAUGAUGUCCUGGGUUCAAUCCCCAGCAUCUCCC